GGACCUGACUGCUAUCGGAUUGAUACUAAGCCAUGCGAGUCAUUGUAGCAAUACAAGGCAGACGGCUCAGUAACGCGUAGUCAACCUACCCUAUGGACGGGGAUAACCUCGGGAAACUGAGAAUAAUACCCGAUAGAACAUUAUGCCUGGAAUGGUUUAUGUUCCAAAUGAUUUAUCGCCGUAGGAUGGGACUGCGGCCUAUCAGUUUGUUGGUGAGGUAAUGGCCCACCAAGACUAUUACAGGUACGGGCUCUGAGAGGAGUGGCCCGGAGAUGGGUACUGAGACACGGACCCAGGCCCUAUGGGGCGCAGCAGGCGAGAAAACUUUGCAAUGUGCGAAAGCACGACAAGGUUAAUCCGAGUGGUUUCUGCUAAAGGAACCUUUUGUUAGUCAUAGAACCACUAAUGAAUAAGGGGUGGGCAAGUUCUGGUGUCAGCCGCCGCGGUAAAACCAGCACCUCAAGUGGUCAGGAUGAUUAUUGGGCCUAAAGCAUCCGUAGCCGGCUCUGUAAGUUUUCGGUUAAAUCUGUACGCUCAACGUACAGGCUGCCGGGAAUACUGCAGAGCUAGGGAGUGGGAGAGGUAGACGGUACUCGGUAGGAAGGGGUAAAAUCCUUUGAUCUAUUGAUGACCACCUGUGGCGAAGGCGGUCUACCAGAACACGUCCGACGGUGAGGGAUGAAAGCUGGGGGAGCAAGCCGGAUUAGAUACCCGGGUAGUCCCAGCUGUAAACUAUGCAAACUCAGUGAUGCAUUGGCUUGUGGCCAAUGCAGUGCUGCAGGGAAGCCGUUAAGUUUGCCGCCUGGGAAGUACGUACGCAAGUAUGAAACUUAA
rnacentral:rRNA from 1 species